UACAGAGGGUGCAAGCGUUAAUCGGAAUUACUGGGCGUAAAGCGCGCGUAGGCGGUUUGAUAAGCGGGAUGUGAAAGCCCUGGGCUUAACCUGGGAACGGCAUUCCGAACUGUCAGGCUAGAGUAUGGUAGAGGGUAGUGGAAUUUCCUGUGUAGCGGUGAAAUGCGUAGAUAUAGGAAGGAACACCAGUGGCGAAGGCGGCUACCUGGACCAAUACUGACGCUGAGGUGCGAAAGCGUGGGGAGCAAACAGG
rnacentral:misc_RNA from 1 species